UAGAAAACUCUAAACCCAACAAUACAGCAAUCAAUAUCAAUGUAGCACUAAAAAUAAUAACACAAGAUAAUAACACGAGAAGUAAUAAGAAUAAACAAUGUACAGGGAUACUGGAGUGAUGGAGGUAGAUAUGUACAGGGAUACUGGAGUGAUGGAGGUAGAUAUGUACAGGGAUACUGGAGUGAUGGAGGUAGAUAUGUACAGGGAUACUGGAGUGAUGGAGGUAGAUAUGUACAGGGAUACUGGAGUGAUGGAGGUAGAUAUGUACAGGGAUACUGGAGUGAUGGAGGUAGAUAUGUACAGGGAUACUGGAGUGAUGGAGGUAGAUAUGUACAGGGAUACUGGAGUGAUGGAGGUAGAUAUGUACAGGGUUACUGGAGUGAUGGAGGUAGAUAUGUACAGGGAUACUGGAGUGAUGGAGGUAGAUAUGUACAGGGAUACUGGAGUGAUGGAGGUAGAUAUGUACAGGGAUACUGGAGUGAUGGAGGUAGAUAUGUACAGGGAUACUGGAGUGAUGGAGGUAGAUAUGUACAGGGUUACUGGAGUGAUGGAGGUAGAUAUGUACAGGGAUACUGGAGUGAUGGAGGUAGAUAUGUACAGGGAUACUGGAGUGAUGGAGGUAGAUAUGUACAGGGAUACUGGAGUGAUGGAGGUAGAUAUGUACAGGGAUACUGGAGUGAUGGAGGUAGAUAUGUACAGGGAUACUGGAGUGAUGGAGGUAGAUAUGUACAGGGAUACUGGAGUGAUGGAGGUAGAUAUGUACAGGGUUACUGGAGUGAUGGAGGUAGAUAUGUACAGGGAUACUGGAGUGAUGGAGGUAGA